rnacentral:lncRNA from 1 species
GAAGUCUUACUUGAGAAUGCUCCGGGCACCUGGCUAUAGAAGGAAGAAUGGAAAUUGCAAUAACAAAAUCCUAAUUCUAAUAGAAUACUAACAAUGCUCUAAUUAGACCAUAAUAAUGCUAAGCAAGCUUAAUCAAAUUCAAAAUAACCUCAAAGAAAUUUCAAACAAACAAUAAAAAUUCUUAAAGAAAUAUUAGAAGGAUAAAAAAUAUCACUCAAAUAUAUCUCAAUUCAAUCUUAAUUUAAUUCUAGUUAAAAUCCUAUUGAACUUCAUUAAAACUUUAGGCCAAAACUAAUUGAAUCUUAAAUCCUAAUAAAAUCCUAAAUCUUAAAUCAAACCCUAAACAAACCUUAAACCAAACCCCAACCAAAUCCUAAAUCAAAUCUUAACCAAAUCCUAAACCAAACCCUAAAUCCUAAAUAAAAUCCUAACUAAAUCCUAAACCAAAUCCUAAUCCAAAUCCUAAACUCUAAAUCAAAUCCUAACCAAAUCUUAAAUUCUAAAUCAAAUCCUAAUCUAAAUCCUAAAUCCUAAAGUAAACCGUAAUCAAAUCCUAAUCCUAAAUCAAACCCUAAUCCAAAUCCUAAUCAAACCUUAAACCAAAUCCUUAACCAAAUCCUAACCAAACCCUAAUCAAAUCCUAA